rnacentral:rRNA from 1 species
AUUGAACGCUGGCGGCAUGCUUUACACAUGCAAGUCGAACGGUAACAGGCCGCAAGGUGCUGACGAGUGGCGAACGGGUGAGUAAUGCAUCGGAACGUGCCCAGUCGUGGGGGAUAACUACUCGAAAGAGUAGAUAAUACCGCAUACGAUCUGUGGAUGAAAGCGGGGGACCGUAAGGCAUCGCGCGAUUGGAGCGGCCGAUGUCAGAUUAGGUAGUUGGUGGGGUAAAGGCUCACCAAGCCAACGAUCUGUAGCUGGUCUGAGAGGACGACCAGCCACACUGGGACUGAGACACGGCCCAGACUCCUACGGGAGGCAGCAGUGGGGAAUUUUGGACAAUGGGCGCAAGCCUGAUCCAGCAAUGCCGCGUGCAGGAAGAAGGCCUUCGGGUUGUAAACUGCUUUUGUACGGAACGAAACGGCUCUGGUUAAUACCCGGGGCUAAUGACGGUACCGUAAGAAUAAGCACCGGCUAACUACGUG